UCAGACAUGGUGUAGUGGUAACAUCGCCCGCAGUUGUGUUGAAAUGGUAAAAGAGUUAUCGGGUGGUCCUGGGUUCGAUUCCCGGUCUCUGAA